GCCCCUCCGGCCCCGGCUCGCCCCGGACUGGAGCCGCCUUUCGGAUGCAGGCGUCGUCCCCCGCCCCUGGGAGCACUCUUGGGGACUUCUAACAGAAGGUCGUCGCAACCCCGUUUCCUGGAUCUGCUCAAAAAACUAGGCUGUUCUCCCGGGCCGAGCAGAGCUGUGGGGUGGGGGGUGGGUGCAGGCCGUUCUGUGGACAGAUGAGUGAAUUAUUUGGUGAUUCUGGAGGUGGGGGAGCCCGGGAAGGGAGUAUAACCUGAUUCGGGUUGCUACCCCGCCCUGAUGUCCACACCUUUAAGACAAGGAUCCCCUUAUGCCAUUUCCUUCUCGUCUGUUUCAGUUAGGCUGAAGCCUUGACUUUAAGGAACGUACUUGUGAAACGAGUCAGGCAAGGAUGUAUGGAACGGAAGGGCACUGUGAGGCCGACUGAUUUUUUUUGAAAGGGGGCAUCUUAAAAAGCUGAUGGAUUCCACUUUCUUGAACUCCUACGCGCAUCAGCAUCUUUUCACCAGAUACAGUAAACACAAUUUUCGAGCUGUCUGGCUUGGGUUUCUUCCACAUCUCUUCAAAAGAACAAACCAAAACCACAAAAGGUAGACUACUAUCUGUUCAUUCUGGCUCCACACUGCAAACAACCUGAAUAUCUGUGAACAAUGCUGUACUGUGGAUUGUGGGAACAUUCUAUCACAAGUCUUCCGAUCUGUCUUCAGCAGAUACUCGUAACGGUCCUGCGGGCUGGUUUAACAAUCGCAUUCCUGCCCCCAGCAGUGAAGUGGAUGGAAGCCCCAGUUUCUCUGCAUGCUCACCAGCACCUGGUGUUUUUUCACGUUAGCCAUUCUAGUGGGUGUGUAAAUAGUAUUUCAUUGUGGUUGAAGUUUGCAUUUCCCUGAUGACUAAUGAAAAUGAGCAUUUUUUCAUGUUUGGAUUUUCUUCUGUGAAGUACCUGUUCAAGUGUUUUGCCAAUUGUUCCA